AUUGAACGCUGGCGGCAUGCUUUACACAUGCAAGUCGAACGGUAACAGGCCGCAAGGUGCUGACGAGUGGCGAACGGGUGAGUAAUGCAUCGGAACGUGCCCAGUCGUGGGGGAUAACUACUCGAAAGAGUAGCUAAUACCGCAUACGAUCUAUGGAUGAAAGCGGGGGACCGUAAGGCCUCGGGCGAUUGGAGCGGCCGAUGUCAGAUUAGGUAGUUGGUGGGGUAAAGGCUCACCAAGCCAACGAUCUGUAGCUGGUCUGAGAGGACGACCAGCCACACUGGGACUGAGACACGGCCCAGACUCCUACGGGAGGCAGCAGUGGGGAAUUUUGGACAAUGGGCGCAAGCCUGAUCCAGCAAUGCCGCGUGCAGGAAGAAGGCCUUCGGGUUGUAAACUGCUUUUGUACGGAGCGAAACGGCUCUGGUUAAUACCCGGGGCUAAUGACGGUACCGUAAGAAUAAGCACCGGCUAACUACGUG
rnacentral:rRNA from 1 species